GUGACGUCUUAAGACUAUGCCGAGCUCCUGCAUCUGACGUGAUUCGGCUGAUGAAAGGACAAAGUAUCCAAACUCAGAAAAAUACCUGGUUAAGCAGAUGAGAUCCACGUGACACAUUAUAAAGAUGGAGUUUAUUAAAGAGGAGAGUGAAGACGUGAAGAUUGAAGAAACAUUCAGAAUCAAACAAGAAGAUACUGAGGAACAAACAGAUGUGAUGGCACUGAAAGAGGAGUGUGAAGUACUGAUUGAAAUGGAAGAGAAAGAACAGUAUGAUAAACACUGUGACAUCAUAACUGGAGUAAAAUCUUUUAGUUGCUUACAGACUGAAAAAACUUGCUCACAAAACAGGGCUCAGAAGACCGGGACUAAAAAUAAUUUAACCUGCUUUCAGUGUGGAAAGAGUUUCAGUCGACAUGGAAACCUAAGAGUCCACAUGAGAAUUCACACUGUUAGAGAGCCCUUUUACAUGCCAACAAUGUGGAAAAAGUUUUGAUCUACUUGAAAAGUUUAAAUUCCACAUGGCAAAUCACACAAGAAAGAGCCAUUUUACAUGUCAACAGUGUGGAAAAAGUUUCAAACAAAAAGGAAACUUUAAUAACCACAUGAGAAUUCACACAGGAGAGAAGCCCUACACAUGCCCUCCGUGUGGAAAGAGUUUUAGGCAAGCUGGAAACCUUAAAUCCCACAUAAGGAUUCACACCGGAGAGAAGCCAUUUAUCUGCCAACAGUGUGGAAAAUGUUUCACCUGAAGAGGAAUCCUUAGAGACCACAUGAGACAUCACACCAGAUAAAGGCUUUUACCUGCCAACUG